UGGAGCGGGCAGCGGGAAUCGAACCCGCAUCAUCAGCUUGGAAGGCUGAGGUAAUAGCCAUUAUACGAUGCCCGC
rnacentral:tRNA from 3 species